GAAGGAAGGAAAGGGACGCCGCGUCGGCGCUCUAACACCCAAACGACGAGAAAAUCCCAGCGAGGAGGAGGAGAAGCGAUUGGCGAAAGGGAAACCGAGUUGGGGAGGGCGGGAGAGAAACGAGGAGGGAGAAAGAGGCGGGUUAUGACUACUCUCCCUCCCUCUCUCUCCCUUUCUCUCUCUUUUGGACUUCUCCAAAAGCAGCGCCCAGAAACCGCCAAGCAGGGCUGGCUGGCGCGCGCAUCCUCUCUCAUCUCUCUCUCUCUCCUUUUUCUCUUUUUCUCCAUUCUCUCUCUCUUUCGCGUUGCUCCAGCUCCUCCCUCGUGUGGUUGUGGCUUUUCUUCAUUCCCUUUUCCCAUCAAAAAGCCCGAUCUUUUGGAGGGAAAAAACGGGGGGAAAGAAAUCCGAAAGGAAGCGAAGAAAGCUCUCGGGAGGGGAAAAAAAAAAAACUUCUUUGGAGUUAUCGCUGCCUCGUGCCUCUCUCCAUUGGGUCCACAAGAGAAAAAUCUAUCUCCGCUGUUCUCCCGCAGCCUUGCUCUGUCUUUCUUCUCUUUUUUGACACAUACACAAGUCUUUCAACGGCGUCGAGGGCGAUGGGAAAAGUUGCGGGCUGGACGUGGCUGGUGCUGAUGCUCCCGUUUGGCUUCAUCGGGGCGGAGAUCACUUGCCAGGCUUGCCAAGGGCAAGGGCAACACCGGCUCCAGCCAGGAUUAUUGCUGCGCUUGAGGGCGAGGAACCCAGAGGAGGUCAAGGAGGGCGCCUCGGGUCGGCUCUUCUUGGCCGCUUUGGGGGAGAAGCCUCUCUCCUUGGAAGGCGGGCAGCCGGACCCUCUUUCUCCUCUCCCCCGCGGACCCGGGACCUCCGCUUCCGCCUCCCUCUCGUCUCCGCUCGGCCUCCCGCUCCCGAAUCAGGCGGCGCGGAGGCGGAGGCGGCAAAGCCGGAAAGCCCGAGACGCCCAGCCGCCGGAGAGCCGCCCGGAGCCCGCCACCCGUUUCCGACCCGAGGAGCUCAAGCUGACCAGCACCACCUUCGCCCUCACCGGAGACUCGGCCCACAACCAAGCCAUGGUCCACUGGUCCGGACACAACAGCAGCGUGAUAUUAAUUCUGACAAAGCUGUAUGACUACAACCUGGGGAGUAUCACGGAGAGCUCAUUGUGGAGGUCAACAGACUAUGGGACCACCUAUGAAAAGCUAAAUGACAAAGUGGGUCUGAAGACCAUUCUGAGUUACCUCUAUGUUUGUCCAACUAAUAAGCGUAAGAUUAUGUUGCUUACUGACCCAGAAAUUGAGAGUAGUCUUCUGAUCAGUUCGGAUGAAGGAGCCACCUAUCAAAAAUACCGGCUGAACUUCUACAUCCACAGCAUGCUCUUCCAUCCAAAGCAGGAAGAUUGGAUUCUAGCCUACAGUCAGGAUCAGAAGUUGUACAGCUCUGUAGAAUUUGGAAGAAGAUGGCUGCUCCUCCAGGAAACUGUAACGCCAAACAGAUUCUACUGGUCUAGGAUGGGGACCAGUAAAGAACCAGACAUAGUCCACUUGGAGACAAAAACAGUGGAUGGUCAUGCACAGUACAUCACCUGCAGGAUGCAGAACUGCUCUGAAGCUGUAAGAAGUAAACCUUUCCCAGGAUACAUUGACUCUGACUCCCUCAUUGUCCAGGAUGAUUAUGUGUUUGUUCAGCUGACAUCAGGAGGCCGGCCUCAUUACUACGUGUCCUAUCGGAGAAAUGCGUUUUCGCAAAUGAAGUUUCCCAAAUAUGCCUUGCCAAAGGACAUGCACGUUAUCAGCACGGAUGAGAAUCAAGUAUUUGCUGCAGUUCAGGAAUGGAACCAGAAUGAUACAUACAACCUUUACAUCUCUGACACCCGAGGGGUCUACUUUACCCUAGCCUUGGAAAAUGUCAAGAGCAGCCGAGACCUGGAGGGCAAUAUAAUGAUAGAUCUCUAUGAGGUAGCAGGCAUAAAGGGAAUGUUCUUGGCUAACAAGAAGAUUGACAACCAAGUGAAAACUUUCAUUACCUACAAUAAAGGGAGAGAUUGGCAUUUGCUGCAGGCCCCUGACACGGAUCUGAGAGGAAACCCAGUUCAUUGCCUCCUGCCCUAUUGUUCCCUACAUCUCCACCUGAAGGUUUCAGAGAACCCAUACACUUCAGGCAACAUUGCCAGUCGGGAUACAGCUCCUGGGAUCAUUGUGGCCUCUGGUAACAUUGGAACAGAGUUGUCAGACCAAGAUAUCAGCAUGUUUGUUUCAUCUGAUGCAGGAAACACUUGGAGACAAAUCUUUGAAGAAGAGCACAGCGUUCUUUAUCUGGAUCAAGGUGGGGUUUUGGUUGCCAUGAAACAUACAUCUCUGCCUAUCAGACAUCUCUGGUUAAGUUUUGAUGAAGGAAGGUCUUGGAGCAAGUACAGCUUCACUUCUAUCCCACUUUUUGUUGAUGGGGUCCUGGGAGAACCUGGAGAAGAGACCUUAAUAAUGACGGUUUUUGGGCAUUUCAGCCAUCGCUCAGAGUGGCAGCUGGUAAAAGUAGACUACAAGUCUAUUUUUGACAGACGGUGUGCUGAUGAUGACUACCGGCCAUGGCAACUUCAUAGCCAGGGAGAGGCAUGCAUCAUGGGGGCAAAAAGAAUCUACAAGAAACGCAAGUCAGAAAAGAAAUGUAUGCAGGGCAAGUAUGCCGGUGCUAUGGCAUCUGAACCAUGUGUUUGUACAGAGGCAGAUUUUGACUGUGACUAUGGAUUUGAACGUCACAGCAAUGGCCAGUGUUUGCCUGCAUUUUGGUAUAACCCAUCAACAUUGUCGAAAGACUGCAGUAUUGGUCAAAGUUACCUCAAUAGCACUGGGUAUAGAAAGGUUGUAUCUAAUAACUGCACAGAUGGUGUGCGUGAGCAGUAUACAGCCAAGCCUCAGCAGUGUCCUGGCAAGGCCCCAAGAGGGCUUCGAGUUGUCACUUCGGAAGGCACAUUGACAUCGGAACAAGGGCACAAUGUUACAUUUCUGAUGCAGCUGGAAGAGGGGGACAUUCAAAGAUCAAUAAUCCGGAUAGAUUUUGGAGAUGGGAGUGCUGUGUCAUAUGCUAAUCUCAGCUCAACAGAAGAUGGAAUCAAACACAUCUACCAGAAUGUGGGGAUUUUCCGAGUAACAGCACAGGUGGAAAACAGUCUGGGAGCUGACAGUGCUGUCCUGUACUUGCAUGUAAAUUGCCCUUUGGAACAUGUCCAUUUAUCACUGCCAUUUGUAACAACAAAGAACAAAGAAAUUAAUGCCACAGCAGUUCUGUGGCCCAGUCAAGUUGGAACACUAACUUACAUCUGGUGGUUUGGAAACAACACUGAGCCACUGAUUACUCUAGAAGGGAACAUCGCAUUUACUUUCUCUGCAGAAGGAAUGAACACCAUCACAGUGCAGGUUUCUGCAGGAAACGCAAUUCUGCAAGACACCAAAACAAUUGCAGUGUAUGAGCAAUUCCGAUCGUUAAGGUUAUCCUUCUCCCCAAACCUGGAUGAAUAUAAUCCAGACAUUCCUGAAUGGAGACGGGAUGUUAGUCGCAUCAUCAAGACAGCUCUAGUUGAGGCAACAGGUAUUCCCAACAAGCAUAUCUUGGUGGCAAUCCUGCCAGGUUUACCUACAUCAGCUGAGCUCUUUAUAUUGCCUUAUAAUGACGCAACAGGAGGAAAUAGACAAACAGCAGAAGAUCUCCAGCAGAUUUCAGAAGUUUUGGCUCAGAAAUUGAACCAAAACUCCAUCCAAUUUGACUUGAAACCUGGUGUUAGAAUCUUUGUCCACGCUGCCCAUUUAACAGCAGCUCCACUCAUAGAUGUCACACCUAGCCACAGUGGUUCAGCUAUGCUGAUGCUGCUAUCCGUGGUAUUUGUGGGAUUAGCAGUAUUUGUAAUCUACAAAUUCAAAAGGAAGAUUCCUGGCAUUAAUGUUUAUGCAAAGAUGCAGAAUGAGAAAGAUCAAGAGAUGGUCAGUCCAGGCAGUCAAAAUGAAAGCAUGCCUAAUGUCCCUCAAAGGGAGCUGAUGACCCCAGAGCAACUAGUAGAUGAGAAGUUGGAGACCCGGUCCAUAGGGUUGCCAGAUUUCCAAAGACCAAUUCUUGUACACAAGAGGCUAUUGGGAGGAAAAUUUCCUGGACAUCCUGGACGCCAACCAACGAGCGUGACCAGACAGCCAAGGACUGCCCAGGGUCCAGAACCAGACAGUGCAUAGACUGUUGCCCUGCCGAUGAGCAUGAUGGUGGUCAGAUGUAUGAGGAGCGCUCGCCAAGCGCAGGAAGUAUUUCCACAGUUGCUGAACCUCAAAGCACAAAAGAAAUCCCCACUUGUAUAAAUGUUUGAAACAAGGACACCGAUCAGUCUCUAUCCCCUUUACCCUUAAAUAUAAAUAUAUAUAUGUAUAAAGAAAGAAAGAAACCAACUGCUUUUGGACUUUUUGAUUAUUCUGAUGACAAAAGGGUUUUUAGCUUUAAACCUGUGCAUGUGGAUGUCAUUUGGAUAACAUAUUUGGAACUGCAGUGUACAGGUACUCUAUUUUAAUGGAGUAAAAGGAAAAGGGAAAAAUAUCCUCUUAAUCCUCUUCUCUCUUCUUUUCUAAUCAAGGUUUAAUUUGUAGAUGAUUCAUACUGAUAUAGGCCAAGAAUGUGCAUGGGGAAUUUGGGGGAGGGCAUGAAGUGGGGUAAAGGUUAUUGACUUUUCCAGCAUCAUUUUUGUGCUUUUAGCACAACAGGAUUGUAGGAGGAUUUGUCACUAAAGCCUACAUUCCAAAAAUACAUCCAAGAACUGCCCUCAAGUUUAAAGGCAUCACAAUGUUCUCAUGGGUUUUGCUCUCUUGCCAUUUUAUUGUUUGUUUAUCUCUUUUGUCUACAAUAACUGCUCUAACUUCUUCAGAUAUAGAGUAAGUCCCCAAAGCAGCUCAGGUUCCUUUCGUAAUAGAGUAUUAUACAGAGGUAUAACCCAUCUUUUUAGUACAAUGAAGAAAUAGUUCCCCUCACAGUCACAUGUAUGAAAGCAUAGCUACACUAUUUUAUGUCUGCUCUUAGAAGAUACCAUCGGUAUGAAACAUUUCAUUGUCUGUUAUUUUGUGGAACCCUUUUGAGGAAGGAAAGGAUAUGUUCUUUAGCCACACUCAGUAAUGACAUCCACAGAUUCAAGCUGUUUUUCCAAUAUCCAAAUAAUUUUGUUCUAACAAUAGUAUUUAAGAUGGGGAAAAGUGGUUCAGCAGAAAUGCAUAUUUUCAUUAAUGCAUAUUUUCUGUAUUCAUCCUGGCCCAUGGAGGCACUUGGUGGAGCAGUGUGAUGGUUGGGGUCACUUCUCACCUUCUAGCCUCUUAACAUAAUUUCUGCCACCACACCUAGUCACAAUUAUAUAGAACUGGCAACACUUGGCAGUUGUCAUAAUGCUAAAACAUAUCAGGGAUGUGACUAGAAUUCUAAAGAUUGCUUUCUAUUUUUUUCACAUGAAAUAAAUGAAUUUUUGACCCAAUCUAAUAAACUCCAAGAAAGUUUAUAUCUUAAUCUUUAGAAAUCCUCUGCGAUUUUUGCUACAAAAUUUGGCAUCACUUAUGUCUAUAGUUGUAGUAUUCAAGAUGAUGGGAACUUAGUCUGAUCACUGUAUAGUAAACCUCACAGUUCUAAUAGGCCAUAGAAGUCCAAUAUUAGUGAAGUUAUUUUUAUAGGUCAAUUUGAAUGUUUUCUUUUUCUUAUAACGUUGGACCGACAGCUAAUUUUAAAAUGACUUUUUGAUGUAAUUUUUUCCCUCUUGGUUGAUUACAAUGUAGUGUAAUGUAUAAUUGCUAUUGUUUAUUGCUUUUACAGUCAUAUUUAUUAAACAGAUUCUGUCUCUAAAGGAA